AGGGAUAGUUUGGAACUUUUGAAGUGGGGUUGUAUGAGGUAAUUAGCCAAAGUCAGUGUGUUACCUUCAGUAGAUGGUGGUCGGUAUGCCCCCAGUUUGGAAAAGCAGGCAGGAGUGCUGACAUGGAAACU